rnacentral:rRNA from 1 species
UACGGAGGGUGCAAGCGUUGUUCGGAAUUACUGGGCGUAAAGCGCACGUAGGCGGCCUGUGAAGUCCGGUGUGAAAUCCCUUGGCUUAACCAAGGAAGUGCGCUGGAAACCAGCAGGCUAGGGUGCAGUAGGGGCUCGUGGAAUUCCUGGUGUAGCGGUGAAAUGCGUAGAUAUCAGGAGGAACACCGGUGGUGAAGACGACGAGCGGGGCUGUAAACGACGUUUAGGUGCGAAAGCGUGGGGAGCAAACAGG